AGAAUCAACGCUGGCGGCGUGCCUAACACAUGCAAGUCGAACGAGAAAGUGGAGCAAUCCAUGAGUAAAGUGGCGCACGGGUGAGUAACACGUGACUAACCUACCCUUGAGUGGGGGAUAACCUAGGGAAACCUGGGCUAAUACCGCAUAAUACCUUCGGGUCAAAGGAGCAAUUCGCUUUAGGAGGGGGUCGCGGCCGAUUAGUUAGUUGGCGGGGUAAUGGCCCACCAAGACUGUGAUCGGUAUCCGGCCUGAGAGGGCGCACGGACACACUGGAACUGAAACACGGUCCAGACUCCUACGGGAGGCAGCAGUGGGGAAUUUUGCGCAAUGGGGGAAACCCUGACGCAGCAACGCCGCGUGGAGGAUGAAGCCCCUUGGGGCGUAAACUCCUUUCGAUCGGGACGAUAAUGACGGUACCGAGAGAAGAAGCCCCGGCUAACUUCGCGCCAGCAGCCGC
rnacentral:rRNA from 1 species